GGGAAGGGUUGUCUUCUCCAACGAAAUUUAGCUAGAAAUGUAUUUAAAUUCGUGUGUUUUGUAAAAGUCCAAUUGUCGUUGAUUAAUUAUCUCGAAAAGAGGAAUUUAAUGAUUCAUUUUUGAUACAAUAACAUUUGAAUAAUAAUAAUAAUAAUAUGAUGCAUUUUUAGUAACGAAAUUCGUGAAAUUCGAAUCAGAGAAACGGAAUAAGUGUUUGCAUCUUGUUCCGAGAUUAAUAGUGAAAAGUUAUUAUACCAGAGG